GACACUAUAGCUUAGUGGUUGAGCAUACGAUUGCAAUGCUUUUGGAUUAUCGUGAGGUCCCGUGUUCGAACCACGGUAGUGUCU